rnacentral:rRNA from 1 species
AGAUGGCGACCGGCGCACGGGUGAGUAACACGUAUCCAACCUGCCGAUAACUCGGGGAGUAGCCUUUCGAAAGAAAGAUUAAUACCCGAUGGCAUAAUAGAACCGCAUGGUUUGAUUAUUAAAGAAUUUCGGUUAUCGAUGGGGAUGCGUUCCAUUAGGCAGUUGGUGGGGUAACGGCCCACCAAACCUUCGAUGGAUAGGGGUUCUGAGAGGAAGGUCCCCCACAUUGGAACUGAGACACGGUCCAAACUCCUACGGGAGGCAGCAUG